GGGCAUGCUACCAUGCAUAUACGUGCCAAGUCGAGCGGACAGAUGGGAGCUUGCUCCCUGAUGUUAGCGGCGGACGGGUGAGUAACACGUGGGUAACCUGCCUGUAAGACUGGGAUAACUCCGGGAAACCGGGGCUAAUACCGGAUGGUUGUCUGAACCGCAUGGUUCAGACAUAAAAGGUGGCUUCGGCUACCACUUACAGAUGGACCCGCGGCGCAUUAGCUAGUUGGUGAGGUAACGGCUCACCAAGGCGACGAUGCGUAGCCGACCUGAGAGGGUGAUCGGCCACACUGGGACUGAGACACGGCCCAGACUCCUACGGGAGGCAGCAGUAGGGAAUCUUCCGCAAUGGACGAAAGUCUGACGGAGCAACGCCGCGUGAGUGAUGAAGGUUUUCGGAUCGUAAAGCUCUGUUGUUAGGGAAGAACAAGUGCCGUUCAAAUAGGGCGGCACCUUGACGGUACCUAACCAGAAAGCCACGGCUAACUACGUGCCAGCAGCCGCGGUAAUACGUAGGUGGCAAGCGUUGUCCGGAAUUAUUGGGCGUAAAGGGCUCGCAGGCGGUUUCUUAAGUCUGAUGUGAAAGCCCCCGGCUCAACCGGGGAGGGUCAUUGGAAACUGGGGAACUUGAGUGCAGAAGAGGAGAGUGGAAUUCCACGUGUAGCGGUGAAAUGCGUAGAGAUGUGGAGGAACACCAGUGGCGAAGGCGACUCUCUGGUCUGUAACUGACGCUGAGGAGCGAAAGCGUGGGGAGCGAACAGGAUUAGAUACCCUGGUAGUCCACGCCGUAAACGAUGAGUGCUAAGUGUUAGGGGGUUUCCGCCCCUUAGUGCUGCAGCUAACGCAUUAAGCACUCCGCCUGGGGAGUACGGUCGCAAGACUGAAACUCAAAGGAAUUGACGGGGGCCCGCACAAGCGGUGGAGCAUGUGGUUUAAUUCGAAGCAACGCAAAGAACCUUACCAGGUCUUGACUUCCUCUGACAUCCUAGAGAUAGGACGUCCCUUCGGGGGCAAAUGACAGGG
rnacentral:rRNA from 1 species